rnacentral:rRNA from 1 species
UGGGGAAUUUUGGACAAUGGGCGAAAGCCUGAUCCAGCAAUGCCGCGUGUGUGAAGAAGGCCUUCGGGUUGUAAAGCACUUUUGUCCGGAAAGAAAUCCUUGGCUCUAAUACAGUCGGGGGAUGACGGUACCGGAAGAAUAAGCACCGGCUAACUACGUGCCAGCAGCCGCGGUAAUACGUAGGGUGCAAGCGUUAAUCGGAAUUACUGGGCGUAAAGCGUGCGCAGGCGGUUUGCUAAGACCGAUGUGAAAUCCCCGGGCUCAACCUGGGAACUGCAUUGGUGACUGGCAGGCUAGAGUAUGGCAGAGGGGGGUAGAAUUCCACGUGUAGCAGUGAAAUGCGUAGAGAUGUGGAGGAAUACCGAUGGCGAAGGCAGCCCCCUGGGCCAAUACUGACGCUCAUGCACGAAAGCGUGGGGAGCAAACAGGAUUAGAUACCCUGGUAGUCCACGCCCUAAACGAUGUCAACUAGUUGUUGGGGAUUCAUUCCUUAGUAACGUAGCUAACGCGUGAAGUUGACCGCCUGGGGAGUACGGUCGCAAGAUUAAAACUUAAAUGAAUUGACGGGGUCAUAGCUGUUU